rnacentral:lncRNA from 1 species
GCGCCGCCCCGCGCCGGGGCGACUCGGGAGUGCGGUCGGCAGUAGAGCCUGGCGGUGUCUUGGCUUCGGCGCUUUAACCCUGUAGGGGCGUGCGACUGCGUCCUUCUCAAGGGGGCGCCCCUCGAGCGGCGGGCUGAGUGGCGUCCAGCGGCGGGGAGGCGAAAACCCUGGGGGACUCAGAAGCGGGUGGCGGUGUAGGGCGUGUAAGGAGGAGAUAGCCAGGCCCCUGCGGGGGGGGCGGGCCCUCCUUAGCGUCCCAGAGGGCUUGUCUGCUACAGGGGCUCCCAGCGGCCUCCCGCACCGAAGGGACCCUGGGCGUCUGAGGCCCUGAUCCGGGCGGGCCUUCAGGAUGUUAGCAGUCCCUGUCCGGUUGAAGGUAGGAAGCCGAAAACCCGAGUGGGGGACGAACAGACUUACCUCCUGUCCCGCAAAAGAUCCACUAGAUCGUCGUCUCCAAAACCUGAGAGACCGCGAACGGGUUCCAGAGCCGCAGCGUUCUCUCAGACCUGGCGUUCAGGAAGAUUCUAGAGAGCACGGGCAGGUCCCGGAGGUCUCAGACCCGCAGGCCUGCGGGGCGGGGGCGGGGUGGCGCCCAGGACGACUCCCCGGGCUCAGCUUGGCUGCCUGCCUCCUUCUGUAAGUGCUUUUUUUUUCUUCACCUGGGACCCUCUAGAGGUUGGAAAGAGAAGAGAGGCUGGGAGCGGAUGGAAAGCAUGACUGCAUCUGGAGCCCCUGGGGGGAGUGGGGAAGAGGGAGUGGAAGGACAGUGGCUGAGGGGCUUCCUGUUGCAGCCUUCAGCUGGACUCAGGGUUGGGGUCACUGGAGGAGGAGGUGGCUUCCUGCCCCAUUGUUCUGGACUGCAGUGUUUCUUGGGAAUACUUACUGUAUGUGGAUUUUCAGUAACCAACUUGGAAAGCUGUAUUUGUUCCCAUGAUUCAGCAAACAAUGAGUACCUACUGUGUGUAGAAGCAGCAGGACAGCCUGUCAUCACUGGGAAAGAGGCCAGAAGAGCCGUUUGGCCAGGGUCUCCAAUUUAGGCUUUCAACAUUAUCUCUAAAGAAGGUUAUACAUUAUGUCGGCUCCACUGGCUGAUGGGAUCAAAGACCCUCCUUGUAUAUCCUUAAACCUGUACUCUAUUACCAGGCCACUGUGCCUGUGGAGCACUGUAAGUUCCUACCUUUUAAUAAAUUUUAUAAUUAUCUUGUGAGCAGCACAAUUGUCAUAGUUUUUUGUAUCAGAAACAUUAAUUUGUUAAACAUUUUAAAA